UACGCCCGUCUAUGACGGGACGUAUUAUGGUAUACCCCGCGUCCGUCUGUCCGUCCGUCCGUCUGUCCGUCCGUAUGUCUGUUAAUGUCGUACGCUACGUCAAAUAUCCUUUGACAGAUUUUCUUCAAAUUUUAACACAAUCUUAAUAUUGAUAAACCCUGAUCCCCUUUCGUUUUUGACGGAAUUCUGAAUUGUCGUUCCAGAGUUAUGGGACUUUGUUCGUCAAAAUUUCGUGAUUUCAUUGAAUGUCCUACUGUAGCUAUAUAAAAAUGUUAAAGUUGUUAUAACUUUGGUAUGCUUGGACCUAGAGUCUUGAAACUUGACAUGAAGGUUGGCCAGAACUAGUAAGUAACCACUGGACAUUUCAAGGUCAUUCAUUUGAAGGUCAAGGUCACUGUGACCUUGAAUGUAAAAAUGUUAAAGUUCUUAUUUCAUGUUAUAACUUUGGUAUGCUUGUACCUAGAGUCUUCAAACUUGAAAUAAAGAUUGGCCAGUACUAGAAGAUGACCACUGGUCAUUUCAAUGUCAUUCAUUUGAAGGUCAAGGUCACUGUGACCUUAAAUGUUAAAAUGUUAAAAUUGUUAUAACUUUGGUAUGCUUGGACAUAGAGUCUUCAAACUUGACAUGAAGGUUUGCAAGCACACUUAGAUGACCACUGGUCAUUAGAAGGUCAUUCAUUCUAAGGUCAAGGUCACACAAGGUCACUGUGACCUUAAAUGUUAAAAUGUUAAAAUUGUUAUAACUUUGGUAUGCUUGGACAUAGAGUCUUCAAACUUGACAUGAAGGUUUGCAAGCACACUUAGAUGACCACUGGUCAUUUCAAGGUCAUUCAUUCUAAGGUCAAGGUCACUGUGACCUUAAAUGUUAUUGUUGUUCAUGUAUCCUACCGUAGCUCAAAUAUCCCCCGAUGGAUUUUUUAUACGCCCGUCUAUGACGGGACGUAUUAUGGUAUACCCCGCGUCCGUCUGUCCGUCCGUCCGUCCGUCCGUCCGUCUGUUAAUGUCGUACACUACGUCAAAUAUCCUUUGACAGAUUUUCUUCAAAUUUUAACACAAUCUUAAUAUUGAUAAACCCUGAUCCCCUUUCGUUUUUGACGGAAUUCUGAAUUGUCGUUCCAGAGUUAUGGGACUUUGUUCGUCAAAAUUUCGUGAUUUCAUUGAAUGUCCUACUGUAGCUCAAAUAUCCUUCGAUGGAUUUUUUUCAAAUUUCAACACAAUCUUAAUAUUGAUAAACCCUGAUCCCCUUUCGUUUUUGACGGAAUUCUGAAUUGUCGUUCCAGAGUUAUGGGACUUUGUUCGUCAAAAUUUCGUGAUUUCCAUGCUCAUGUACUUAUAAAAUAAACCAUGUAUUCAAAUACAAAUAAACUGAAGUAAAAAAAUUA